GUCUAUGGCCAUACUACCCUGAACGUGCCCGAUUUCGUCUGAUCUCGGAAGCUAAGCGGGGUCGGGCCUGGUUAGUACUUGUAUGGGAUAUACAGCAGGUCAGUUUGAAAC
rnacentral:rRNA from 1 species